rnacentral:miRNA from 11 species
AGGCUUUGACUUGGGCAACUUCG